GCCGGGAUAGCUCAGUUG
rnacentral:tRNA from 59 species